AAAGCAGGAAUUGUGUGUAUCGGCGUUGUGCUAAUUUCAGUGCAUACUUUCCGAAAGAGUUUCCUGCAAAAUUAAUUUGGGGAAAGUGGGCAGUUGUGUUUCAUUUUCUUUGGUUGAAAUUCAACAAUCAUUUUCCCCAUAUCU